CCCCCUUUUAUUGAUGUAUUCAUUUCCACGCCACUCCAAACUGAACCGUACGUGUAAUCAUAAUAUGAAACUAUCCAGAAUCAAUACGUGUAAAGCAAGAAAAUUAAAUUAAAGACUGCUGAUUAUUUUGGGGACCACAUGUCACUUGUAGAUAGUUUGACGGGCAGAGUUUGACAGGACCUCGAAACGGAUAUUCAUCAGUUGCGGUCAGUGGUUGGUCAGCGUCACGUUAAGUUUCUGAUUUCAGGGACAGAUGGUCCAUCCUCAGGUGGACGCUCUAUAAAAUGGGCUCCGUUGUCUCUCACUGGGAGAAGCUGGUGGCAGCCUUAACGGGAUUUGUUCGCGCAUAAAAAUUUAUUUCAGCACGAGUACUCAUUGCUCUCCUAAGACACGUCAGAAAAAAAGGGCCGAUUAAGACAUCAGACAUGCAGAUGGUAGAUGUAAUGGCGAUUUUCCUGCUGUUCUUUGCGGCAGCCCCGGGCCAGGCCUGUAGUCCUCCUAGAUUUUGGAGACCCGAGAGCUUUAAAGACAGGUUGGGGCAAGCGUCGAUUGUAUUCCGCGGGAAGGUGACCAGUCUACCCGACCAGGGAGCCUCGCCGAUCAUGUACUCACCUCUGUACGACGCUACCUUCGAAGUUGACUGCUACUACAAAGGGAUCAUCGAUUGGGGACCCAAGUCCGAAACUGUGGGGGGGUUCGGAUGGGAUGGUGGAUUGUGUACGGGCAGCGAUGUUGAAGUCGGCAAAAGCUACUUCAUCUUCGCUGAUCUCUAUCCUUGGUCAGAUGGUCUGACCGUAAGUCAUAUCAACAUGCAGAGUGGAGCCACGGAGGAAACGGCCGGGCUCAUCGCAGAGGUGGAGCAAGAUUACGGCUGUUCCCAACCUCAACGAUGAAGCCCUCAUCAGUUUGCUUCACAACUUGCACGAAAACGGUGUUUUUGUGUCGAGAGUACUUUUGCUCUUUAUUCGAUUUUAAAUUAUGCAUGACUUGAGACUUUGUUUAAUACAUAUUAACUUAAAUUUUUAGCUUUUUCUUGUUUUUGUGGUUGAAGUAUGCAGCCAUAAUUAUCCCGAACGGUUUCAAUAUAUAACACAAGCUGAAGGACCCUUUGUCUCAAUUUAUCCAAGACUUUAAUGAGAAAAUACAAUUUUGUCUUAAGUAUAAUCAAACUCCAGUUUCAACAUGAAUUCCAUAAUUUAUUCUGUCACUGUUACAUACAUUUUAAUCUAACGUAUAAAUUCAUUGUUGGUAACACAUUCCUUGGCGAAUUAUUUACGAUUGGUCCUACACAAUUAAAAAAUUUAGUAGAGGCCCCCGUAAUUAAUUUAUUUUCCCCUUAUUUCUGUUUUUCCUUACUAUUGGUGUUGGUGAAGCAUUCAAUAAAACUCAAACGAGAGUAAGUGCAUCUA